AAAUUGAAGAGUUUGAUCAUGGCUCAGAUUGAACGCUGGCGGCAGGCCUAACACAUGCAAGUCGAACGGUAACAGGAAGCAGCUUGCUGUUUCGCUGACGAGUGGCGGACGGGUGAGUAAUGUCUGGGAAACUGCCUGAUGGAGGGGGAUAACUACUGGAAACGGUAGCUAAUACCGCAUAACGUCGCAAGACCAAAG
rnacentral:rRNA from 1 species